AGACCGGCCGACGCGGGCCACCCCGCUCUCCUCGCCGCCGCGGCGGCAGGCGCGGGGCCGCGCCGCGAGGCCUGAUCCCUGCAGCGCGGGCAGGCGGCGUCGCAGAGCGGAGCUAGCUGGAUGCGUCCGGACUCCUGCAGGUGAGAGUGAUUUUCCAGUGAUUGCUUUGGCCUGUACAACCAGAGAACAGGAUUCUUCCCUUCUUUUUGGCCACCAAAUGCCUAUGUGCACCACACAUUCCAGUGUGCUGAGAAGGGCAGAGCUUCUUGGAUGAUGAUGGAUGUCCCACCGGGCAGGAUGAAGGCAGAGCGUGUGGCAUCUCCACCUCAAGGGUGGGUUUAUAAACUCCUUCUAUAGAUGAAGACUUCACCUGCCCAAGGUCAUGCAGAUAAGAAGAGGCAGCUCAGACACAAGUUUUCAGAAUCCUAGUCUUUCCCUCUUUUUUGCUAGUUGAUGCUGAUAAUUCAGCAUGAAUAAGAGGACAUGCUGUUUUUGUUUUGUUAAGUUCAACAUUUAAACGUUGCAUUCAGUUUAUGAAUGCUCUGAAAUAGAGCACCCUG
rnacentral:sRNA from 1 species